rnacentral:rRNA from 1 species
UACCAGCACCCCGAGUGGUCGGGACGUUUUAUUGGGCCUAAAGCAUCCGUAGCCGGUUCUACAAGUCUUCCGUUAAAUCCAACUGCUUAACAGGUGGGCUGCGGAAGAUACUAUGGAGCUAGGAGGCGGGAGAGGCAAGCGGUACUCGAUGGGUAGGGGUAAAAUCCGUUGAUCCAUUGAAGACCACCAGUGGCGAAGGCGGCUUGCCAGAACGCGCUCGACGGUGAGGGAUGAAAGCUGGGGGAGCAAACCGGG